GCACCCAACCCCAAUCUGAGGCUCCCAACGGUAAUAUCUCCGCGCUGCGCCGCGUUGCCGACCGACCGAGACUGACCCCUCCUGGCCCCUGCCCACCCAGUCCGGCCGAAUCCAGCCCCAACACGCUCCACUUCCCUUCGAUUUCCGCCGCCCGCCGAAGCCGUCUCCGGCAAGGACCCGACCGGCGACACGACCUCUUCCCGGCGGCCCGCCCGCGGCCAGGCGCGCUCUUUCCUCUCUCCCCGCGCUCUGGCCAUGGCCGGUCUGCUCCUCCUCUCUUCGUCCGGGGCCCCGGGUCAUGGCCGUCUCUCGCCUCGCCUCCUCGCGUCCGGUUUGGAAUCGCUCCUCCUUGAUUCGUCGCCCGUUCAGGUUUAGAACCGCGCCUGAUUUGGUUUUCGUUCCUGCUCGAUUCGCCUGUUUGGAAUUGCGCCUGGUUUGAUCUUGCUCGUCCUCGCUGUCGUCCGGUUCAAUUUUGCUCGUCCUCGCCGCCGUCGUCCGUGUAGGGUCGCGCCUGGUUCAAUUUCGCUCAUCCUCGCUGCCGUCGUCCGUGUAGGGUCGCUUGCGGUUUGAUUUCGCUCGUCCUCGUCGUCGUCCGUGUAGGGUCGCGCCUAGCUCGAUUUCGCUCGUCCUCGCCGUUGACCCGAUGCGCUCGCGUGUUCUUGGUCCGUCUCGCCUCGUCGGGGUCUCCUCCGUCUCGUUUGCGUACUAGCAAUUCUGUCCGCGCGCGCUUCUGUUAGCCGAACUAGCAGUCCUGGGUUUCAUGCUCGCGUCUGGUUUCGAAAUUGGAUUACGGCCGGAGACGGGGAGCGGUGUUCGUUUAUUGUGCUAGUUCAGACCGGUUCCUCCAUUCCGUCACCUACGUUGCUCUUGGUGAUUUUCAAAACUCAAACGUAUGCUCUCCUGUGAUACUCUGUCAAUUCUUGGCCCUCUGUCAGUUCUUGUUGGCCCUCUGUCAAUUCUUGAGUUCCAGGGUCUGUUAAUUCUUGACUUCUUGUUGUACCGGCUAGGCGUGUGUGCUCUCAUCCUAUAUUCAGAGAUGGGGUGAUUCCUUACGCUUGAUCUCAUGGUGUUUCCUUACUGUUUAUGUUCUUUCCAAUUUGUUUCUUUUUAUCAUGCUUUGCUUGCGUGUUCCGAGCAGAAAAGUUUUACAAGAGUGCAAACCAUGUGGCCUGCUGCUUGACUAAUUGAACACCUGCUGCUGCUACUGUUGGACAAGGUUCCUUCUUUUCUUCCUGAUGUUGCUAUUUCCAUUGAACUACUCAUAGGAGUUCUAGAUGAGCUGCUGCUAGUUAGUUCCCCUUAGACUACAUUCUAGAUUGCAUAGCAUAAUUACAGAAUUUUGUCAUUGCACACCUGGGCAUAUAAUUCUGUUGUGAGCAUAACUCCUGAAUUCAUUCAUCCGUGAAAGCACGUUCAUCACAUGUUUUUUACCAUGCUGCUAACUUCUGUCAUGUCCCUUUCCUUUGGACAAGAAUUUCAACGAACCUAUAACGUGGACAUGUGCUGCUUGUUUUCUUGUGAUGAUGGUGAUCCAAUUGAGUAGCCCAACUCUUAUGCUCUGACAUUUGUUAAUCCCCAGUUAGUGUGCAUGAAAAUUUAUUGUUUGUCAUGUUAAAUUUUAUGGCAUCAAUUCGGUAUUGUGAUUAAUGACUUAGUAUUUGUUUAGUGUAGACAGUUGACUUCUUUUUUCUUAAGCUUUUAGUGAUAUGCAUGUUUUGUUAUGUCUUAUGGGGAUAUCAUAUUCUUUCUUUGUAUUACUAAUGUCCAGUCAAUGGAAAAUGCUUUUCUUGCUUGGCCUAGACUUUGUGACAAUUAACUUAUAGUGUGAUCAUUGAUCAUGAGAUUCUGACACCCUAUUCCGUAAAAUUCUGUUGUAAUAUUUGCUGGAUCAUUGAGUAGUUAAUAUUGAUUCUGAGUUUGUUGGAUCAUUAACUUCUGUGUGUGCUUUGGUUAUCUAAGAGACACUCACUAUCCCGUGUUUCAUAUUCGUGGCGGAGCGAUGAACGAUUAUGUUCCGUGUCCCUGUGUUUCGUGUUCGCCUGUCUGGUUUUGGAUUUGGAUUACGGAGACGGGGAGAGGCCAAAGCAAGGUCAGUUUAUCGUGUUUGCUCAGAUCGGUUCCUCGGUUCCGUCGCUGCGUUGUUCGUCGGCUAUUUCCAGUCCUCAAACGCAUGCGCCCUUGUGAUAUUCUGCUUUGGCUCGCUGGUCGUUAUGGUUGUUCGUUACGGUUGUUCUUAUGUUCUUGAAUCACCCAUCUUAUAAGCAGAGAUGGGGUGAUACAUUAUGGUUGUUCUGAUGGUUGCUUAUUUAGUGUUCUUUCCAAAUUGGGUUCUUCUUGCCAUGCUUCGCUUAUGUUCCCAAUGUCUGUCUUUCCAUAUAUGGGGAUGCGUUAGGGUGCAAACCAUGUAGGCCAUGGUGUGUUUUUUACUAGCUAUGGUGUGUUUUAUACUAUCUGAUGUGGAAGGUGGAAAUAUUGAUACCACUUCUGUGUUAGUAUACUUGAUAUGGUGUGUUUUAUUCAAGUAAUUAACCACAUCUCUUACAAAUUUUCCUUGAGAUACAUGUUUGGCAGGAGUGAUUGUCUCGACGAAUAAUCAUUUAUGCUAACAGACCAGUACUUGAUCAUAGGUAACAGACCAAUACUUGAUCAUAGGUAACAGACCAGUACUUGAUCAUAGGUAACAGACCAGUACUUGUUUAGUGCAGACAACUGACUAUUCUUUUUUUCUGAACUUUUUGUGAUAUGUCUGUUAUGUGGAUAUCAUAUUCUAAUGCUUUUCUAAGUAUUUAAGGUACAAACAUGUGGAUCUGGACAUUUCACAUUUGCUCUUUAUUGUGUUGCUAAGGACACUGAACGGUUUAUCUGGGCCACCGCACAGCCUGGCUAAUCAGGUUGUAGUGAUUAGGGAGAAGCUUGCAGAACUGUAUGAAUUUGAAUAACAAUGGCCGAGAGCAUGACAAAUGCUUAGUGGCACUGACUUGGACUCAGGAAUAAGGAUGCUUGAUGACAAACAAAUUAUCCAAGUGCGUCCAGGUUGCACGACUAUUUGGAGGAUGAUGAUGCAGUGAAUGUUGAAGCUUUUAUCAACAAAGCCUCAUUUUUUGUCACAAACAGCAACCAGGAAGUUCUGAACUUUUAAUACAAGGUAUGCUAUGCGAGAAUUUUAGAUCUAAAGCGUAAAUUCUUGGAAGCUGCACUUCGAUACUAUGGUAUCUCUCAAAUUGAGCAACGCCAACUUGGGGAUGAUAUUUAAGGUACAUACAUUGGAUCUGGACAUUUCACAUUGGCUCUUUAUUGUGUUGCUAAGGACACUGAUGGGUUGAGUUUGCCUAAAACGCAGUAUGGAGCAACAAAUUGGUCUCAUUGCAAGGUUACUACCUGGACGUAUAGGCAAGCAAUGUCAAGAGAGGUGACAUAAUCAUCUGAAUCCAGACAUACAGAGAGAUGCUUGGACUAUGAGGAGGAACAUGCACUGUAUAAUGCCCAGGGAAUAAAUGGGCAGAAAUAGCAAAAUUUCCUAGAAGACAUCUGAACAUUGCAGGAAUGAGGUACUUCCAUUUGUGUAACUUCUAUUUGUUACCAGUUCUUCUCACCUAUUGGAGUUGCAAGAUACACAGAAUUAGUCAUCUUAAUCUUCUUUUGUAAAUAUGACUGCUGGUGCUGCUGGUAACGCUAUCCAUCGGCUUGUAGCUCAUGAGAGGCAACCACAGUUGCCAACUUGAAACAUAUAUCUUUUAGGAACGAAGAUCUGAAUCACCCUCACCCCUCGAGAGAAAUCGUUUAGUCAUUCAGGUUCUGGAAUUUCUUUAUAGCUUUCUGAGUUUACUUCGGUCUUGCAUGUCUGUUUCUAUGUCUGUUUAUAGCUUUCUGUUUGUGCCCCUAUCUAUGUCUGUUUCUUAUUGUUUAUUGUGUGCAAGUGCUCCAUUCUGUGUCUGUCUGACUGUUUGUUUUCUUGACUCUCUUGUGUGUGUGUGGCUUGACUGUCUGUGUGUGUGGCUUGACUCUCUUGUGUGUGUGGCUUGACUCUCUUGUGUGUGUGUGGCUUGACUGUCUAUGUGUGUGGCUUGACUCUCUUGUGUGUGUGGCUUGACUGUCUGUGUGUGGGACUGUGUGUUUGACUGUGUGUGAAUAUUGCAUUUGAUUGUGAUGUGUGACUAUGUGUGUGUGACUCUGUGUUUGACUGUGUGUGUGACUGAAUAUUGUGCAUUUUACUGUGAUGUGUGUGACUGUGAAUAAUGCAUUUUGGCAAUGACUGUGUGUGUGAUUGUGUGUGGCUUGACUCUCUGUGUGUGUGUGGCUUGUAUGCUUUGUUGAAUGAUUGGUUGGUGUGGCCUAACACUGCCUUUGCCGGUCCCAAGCCCGGAUGCGAAAAUGUGGAAGGAGCUGUAGUUACCUCCUUUGUAUUGUUUGCCUUGGAAGUGUGAAUAUUGCAUUUUGACAAUGACUGUGUGUGUGACCUGACUUUUUGAGCUUGUGUGUGUGGCUUGACUGUCUGUGUGUGGGACUAUGUGUUUGACUGUGUGUGAAUAUUGCAUUUGACUGUGAUGUGUGACUAUGUGUGUGUGUGACUCUGUGUUUGACUGUGUGUGUGACUGCAUAUUGUGCAUUUUACUGUGAUGUGUGUGACUGUGAAUAAUGCAUUUUGGCAAUGACUGUGUGUGUGAUUGUGUGUGGCUUGACUGUGUGUGUGUGUGGGGCUUGUAUGCUUUGUUGAAUGAUUGGUUGGUGUGGCCUAACACUGCCUUUGCCGAUCCCAAGCCCGAAUGCGAAAAUGUGGAGGAAGUUGUAGUUACCUCCUUUGUAUUGUUUGCCUUAGAAGUGUGAAUAUUGCAUUUUGACAAUGACUGUGUGUGGGAUUGUGUGUGACCUGACUUUUUGAGUGUGUGUGUGCCUUGUAUGCUUUGCUGAAUGAUUGCUUGGUGUGGCCUAACAUUGCCUUUGCCGGUCCCAAGCCUGGAUGCGAAAAUGUGGAGGGAGCCGCAGUUACCUCCCUUGUAUUGUUUGCCUUAGAAGUCUGGAUAGAAAUUACUCUGUCCUAAUUUAAUAUUAAAUCUUCACAUAAUGUCAUCAUGUGAUUUAACAUCUGAAAUGCAUCCUUCCUUGCUAUGAAAAAUCUGGCAAGUGUAAUUGUCGUUAGAAUUCGUCCCGUCUCCUAAAUUAAUCUCGAUGGUUUCUUAAAUUUUGUGUCAGUCUGAUCAUGCACGAAUCUCAGUGUCGCAGAUGUUCCUCAUUUGCCUGUCACUCGUGAGUGCAUGUCGAGUUUAUUUGUCGUUGGACUUUUUAUUCAGGUUGUGGGCCGCCCACUUCUUGUUUUCCAUGUUUGGACCCUGACCCAUGUGGGGGUGUCCUUUUCAGUUGUGUGUCAUUUCUAGAGGGGAUGAGUUGUUGAGUGUGUGUGUGUGAGAGAGAGAGGGGGGGGGGGGGGGGGGGGGGGGAGCUGACUUCAGCGCACGGCCAAUAAGGCACAUUUUCGAGGAAGAGCGGGCACCUCAUUCCCGUCAAAAAACCGAUUCUCCUCAGUGUUCGAGUGCAGUUGUGUGGGGUAAUGGGGGAGAAAUUGGUAGCCAACCAGCCCAACCUAGUGACCAUGGCGAGGAGGGUGAAUAUAAUCUGUUUGUCUUUGUGUGUUUGCUUUUUUUGGCAGUUUAAGUUUUGUUCCUAACUUCCCGUGCGUGCUAUUUGUCCACACCCCCUACUAUAGAAUAACAUAUGAAUUAUUUAUUUUGAAUUUCACAUGAGAUAACUUUGGUCAAUGAUAAAAAUGAGUUAUUGCUCACCCUGUUCAGCUGAGGGGGGCUGUGCCGACAUGUGUUUUUAUUGGGUUAAAAGUGCGGUGUUUUUCUGGCAUUUCUGUUAGUUUAGUGUCAUUUUUGUGCCGUGUACAUGCUCCUCAUUAGCAUGAGGGAUAAUGGACCUUGUAUACAGAUUUUUGGGACUCGGUUCGUUGAAUAUAGUAGCAAAAGGGUCCAUGUGUUGCAAUCGGAAAAGAAAAAUCUCCAAUGGCCAUGACCACAUUUUGCUGCAUCAUCGAGAUACACUAUCACUCUUAAUUUCAUGAAAUCAUGAACAUUUUUUAAACUCUUGAACAUAUUUCAAAUUGUGAACACUUCACAAAUUUUAGAACAUGUUCUCAAAUCAAGAACAUUUUUUGAAUUCAUGAACAUUUAUUAUAUUUGCAAAUAUUUUUUAUAAAAUUAUCAACAUUUUUUAAACAAUUAUCUUCAAUCGGCGAACAUUUCUAGAAUUGAUGAACAUUUUUUUUGGAAAUUGGUGGAACAAUUUUUUAAAUUCACGAACAUUCUUUUGAUGUAACUUAUUUUUUAAUCAUCCAAGAUUUUAUGAAUGAAUAGACUAUUUUUUAAGUCACGAACAAUUUUUGAAUUUUUAGGAUAUUUUUCAUCCGUGAACAUUUUUUGAAUUGGUGAAAUUUUGUUCAAUUUCAUUAACAUUUUUAAUACACUAACUUUUUGAAAAAUCAUGAUUUUUUUAUUUCCGAGGCAUACGUUUUUAAAAAUUGGAACAUUUUUUGAACGAGCAAACAUUUUUUACAAAAUCACGAACAUUUUUUGAAUCCACAAGCAUUUUGUGAUUUAUUAAAAAGAUUAAAAAAAAGUCCCAAAUUAUUUGAAGUAGAAACAAACAAAAACAGGGAAAAUGAUUUUUUUAAAAGACCGCUGGGACAUGGGCCGGCCCAAACGGGCGCGACGCGUCUUCUCCCAGUGCGCAAAAAGUAUAGUAUAGGAGGUCCCUACUGCAUCUGCCGGCCUAGGCGGGCAUUCCCUUGUUUAAAACAUUUUUUUAUCACUUGUAGGUGGUAUUGGUGGAUAAUAUCUUGCAACUUUGGCAUUGGUUUAGUGAUCUGACAAUUCAUUGCAACCUUCCAUUUUGUCAUUGUUCUUUUAAGUCAUAGUAUUAUUCAUCAGUCAUCUUUAGUCAAAUUCAAAACCUUAUUCAGUUAGUUCAGUCGUCUCAACCUGGCGGCAUUGAACUUGUUGAUUUAUCAUUUUCAUUGCAUUUUGUGUGUGCAUCAUUUGAGCAUCAUGUCUACAUGUUUUUGGAGCAUCUUCAUGCCAUCAUUGUAUUUUUAUGAGCUCUUUGGUGACUAGCACAAGCAUGCAAAGUAGGCUAUGUGAUGUUGCUGAUUUCAGACACUGUGGAUUUUUGCUAAGUCUUUUCCUGUUACAUUAUGUUGCUAUAUUGACUUGUUUCCACAAGUAGAUCCAUGCAUAUUUUGAUUAACUUCAGUAAGGAUGUUUUGAAGAUAUGGUCAUGCUUUAUUCUUUCAUGCCUCUGGUUGUAUUUAUGGUGUAGUGUAGUUUGUCAUUACCAUGCUCUACUUUUGCUAAAUAUUGUUGUUCGCAGAUUGUUAACAUGAAUUGCAUUUUUGCCAUGUGUUUUGCUAGUGAUCCAUGCACCCGAUGAACUUGAUCUUUCCAUGUUUAGCUUCAUAAUUGUAUCUAUCUACUGUUGGUUACCUUUUUAUGCCAUGUAAUGCUUUGUGGUGAGUGGCACGAGCUUGUAAAGUUUCUAUUAUGAAUCUAUUUUUACCAUGCUAUGUUUUUCUUCUGUCUGAAACUCUUCAUAUCACUUGCCAUGUUUGCAUUGAUGUUACCAUCUUUUCUGUGCAUCUUUGGCUCAAGAUUAGUAAGGGAGUUUUGUUCAUUGCCUUUAGUACUAGCAUGCCAUGCUUUUGGUUUCCAUGUUAUGUUCCUGUAGCAUGUUGGUUCCUAGCUCUAAACAUUGCUACCUAAUGCUGUUUAUGCCAUGUUUAGUAUUUUCACUAAGUCUGAAACCUGACUGUCAUUUGCAUUUUUGCCAUGCUGUUUUAGGCUUGUUCUAGUGAGUUGUAGCAGGAACUCGGUGUUCAUGAUUUGUAGAGCCUCACUUGUACUUCACUGCCAUGUGCUUUGUUGCUAUGUUGGAGUGUUGUUGCAUAGUUUCGUGAUGCAUCUUAAGUGCUAUGAUGCUGUUAAGCGCAAUGUUGCAUUGUUCUUGUUUUGCUUGUGAUUUGCAAAUCGUGCAUCCGUUUCUGGUGAUCCUUAUAUCUAUUUCGACCGAAAUCACUCACUCUUUUCAGUGGCAUGCUUAGUUUGCCAAGUUGAUUCCAUGAUCAUCCUUUCCCUUCCGGAGUACCCAUAUGCAUUGCACAUCAUACCUUGCAUUCCAUGCCAUGUCUUGCAUCAUGUUGCUUGUGCAUUGCACCGUGAUUGAUUGUUGUUCUGUUGCUUGUGUUCUUACUUUGUGUAGAGCCCAGAGACGAGUUCGUGAAUGAGGAACCUGUUGAGUAUGUUUACGAGGAGCAAACUUUCGACAACCUUAAGAACUUUGUAGGCAACAUGAUCAUUACCCCCGAUAUCACUUCUAUGUUUGCUUGCUAGUUGUUCGCUCUAUCGCUAUGUCGUGCUACAUACCACUUGUUUAUCAUGCCUCCCAUAUUGCGAUGUCAAGCCUCUAACCCACCUUCCUAGCAAACCGUUGUUUGACUAAGUUACCUCUUUUGCUCAGCCCCUCUUAUAGCAUUGCUAGUUGCAGGUGCCUUGCAGGUUGUUCCAUGUUGG